UACGGAGGGGGCUAGCGUUGUUCGGAAUUACUGGGCGUAGAGCGCACGUAGGCGGCUUUGUAAGUUAGAGGUGAAAGCCCGGGGCUCAACCCCGGAAUUGCCUUUAAGACUGCAUCGCUUGAACACGGGAGAGGUGAGCGGAAUUCCGAGUGUAGAGGUGAAAUUCGUAGAUAUUAGGAAGAAUACCAGUGGCGAAGGCGGCUCACUGGUCCGGUACUGACGCUGAGGUGCGAAAGCGUGGGGAGCAAACAGG
rnacentral:rRNA from 1 species